AUUGAACGCUGGCGGCAUGCUUUACACAUGCAAGUCGAACGGUAACAGGCCUUCGGGUGCUGACGAGUGGCGAACGGGUGAGUAAUGCAUCGGAACGUGUCCAGAGGUGGGGGAUAACGCAGCGAAAGCUGUGCUAAUACCGCAUGUGAUCUGAGGAUGAAAGCGGGGGACCAGGCAGCAAUGUUUGGCCUCGCGCCUUUGGAGCGGCCGAUGUCAGAUUAGGUAGUUGGUGGGGUAAAGGCCUACCAAGCCGACGAUCUGUAGCUGGUCUGAGAGGACGACCAGCCACACUGGGACUGAGACACGGCCCAGACUCCUACGGGAGGCAGCAGUGGGGAAUUUUGGACAAUGGGCGCAAGCCUGAUCCAGCAAUGCCGCGUGCGGGAAGAAGGCCUUCUGGUUGUAAACCGCUUUUGUACGGAACGAAAAGGCUCUGGCUAAUACCUGGGGCUGAUGACGGUACCGUAAGAAUAAGCACCGGCUAACUACGUG
rnacentral:rRNA from 1 species